GACGAACGCUGGCGGCGUGCUUAACACAUGCAAGUCGAACGGAAAGGCCCUGCUUUUGUGGGGUGCUCGAGUGGCGAACGGGUGAGUAACACGUGAGUAACCUGCCCUUGACUUUGGGAUAACUUCAGGAAACUGGGGCUAAUACCGGAUAGGAGCUCCUGCUGCAUGGUGGGGGUUGGAAAGUUUCGGCGGUUGGGGAUGGACUCGCGGCUUAUCAGCUUGUUGGUGGGGUAGUGGCUGACCAAGGCUUUGACGGGUAGCCGGCCUGAGAGGGUGACCGGCGACAUUGGGACUGAGAGACGGCCCAGACUCCUACGGGAGGCAGCAGGGGGGAAUAUUGCACAAUGGGCGGAAGCCUGAUGCAGCAACGCCGCGUGCGGGAUGACGGCCUUCGGGGUGUAAACCGCUUUCGCCUGUGACGAAGCGUGAGUGACGGUAAUGGGUAAAGAAGCACCGGCUAACUACGUG
rnacentral:rRNA from 1 species